CCCUUUAAGCCUAAUCCCCUUCCUUCUAACAGAUAAACUGACGCUGUGCUGAUUUUAUGUGUUUAGUUCAUCCUUGUAAUACCAUAGUUACCGAAUAUAGUGACACUGCAUUCUCUAUAACUACAAAGUCGAAUUUAUAAAGUGAUAGAUUAUGAGUUGGAAGACGCUUUUGAUGCCAUCUGUUCCAAUCCUUUCCAUUUCCAGAUGAAGUCUAGAGAGUUUAAAUAACUUGUUCCCAAGUUUUUACAGAAAGUUAAUUGCAAAGACACAACCAGACCUUACGUCCCUCCACCCCCACUUCCACCGCACCCCCCCAUCUUGCCUCACAUUACACAGGCAUGGCAACGCAUGCAAUUUUCAGACAAUUAAGCAGUAUAAAAAUAACCUCGGUCUAAUUACAUCCAAUUAACAAGCCAAAUUAGUGUUUCAUAUGUACACUAUUAAACUAGUUGUCUGGCUUCCAAAAGAAAUAAAACGCUGUUUCAAAUGAAUCUCGCAUUUUAGUGAACAAAGUCACUCACCAUUUAAAUUACCUUUCCUAUAAUCUUCUUUAUAUGGAAUUAGAACUAAUCUCCAUUUUAAAAGAAUACUUUCUGCAACUAUCAGGAUGAGAAUUCAUGCUGUAUUUUAAGUAUCAAAAUUUUCUUUCUCAUUGAGCACACAAUUUUCUAAGAUUAGUGUAUGUGUGUGCACAUGCAUGUCUACACACGUGCAUGCCUAGAGGUCCCUAAGCAUACACAGAUGAGGGUGUGUCUGCAUUUGCUUACUGCCUAGUUUCAGAAGUCCCACCUUUCUGUGGGGUUCUGAGAUCAAGUGAAUCUGCCACAAUGCAAAUAAUAAGAGCUUCGCUGAUCUCCUGCUUUCUUUUUCAGAGAAAAUGAAACCAGCAAAUAAAUCUUUGUCAAAAAAAGCAGUGCCUUUCAAAUACACUGCCUUACACACUCUUUCUAGUAUCGUCAGCAUUUAGGUACAACUGGGUAUCAAUUAAAAAGCAGUAUUCUAAUGAACCAUGAAAUGAAUCAUCUAUCCAUUCCUUAAAUAUUUACACCUAAAAAUAUAAAUACCUUGUAAUUUUAAGUACAAUCACUUUUAUAAGUUGGUGUUUAACGGUUAACUUUCACUACUAAUGUUCAUGAAUAUUGUCUGGAGUAAAAUGUUUCACAGCACAUUCAAAAAUAAUGCAGCACUAUACUUAAAUGUAGUUCAAACUCACAAUCUGCCACACAUAUUUGGCCAUGUUUAUCAAAACAGUUUAAUCUCUUUUGCUAUUUACUAUUUUGGAAGAUGUCCAUUAACAAGAUGAAAGAAUUCAUAUCAUCAUGCGGUAGUGUCAACCUUCAUUACUUCUCUUUGGGGCAUCACAGCAAUUUAAUCUCCUCCUUCCCACCAAGCUAUCCAUCCUUCUAAACACAUGCUUAAAAACCUUGAGUGAAGUCCAGCUUCCUUGAGAGGGCUUCCCAGCCCCACAUGAUCUGGAACUCAUGUCCCUUUCCAGGCUGACAAUACUCCUUCUCUCCCCUGGUACUAUAACCACGCCCCACGGCUCCAGAUCAAAUUAUGCUGGGCCCCUCCCUUCCCUCUUAGAAUUUACUGAAGUUCUACUCAAUCUGCAAGGCCUCUAACCAACACCACUUCUUCCCAAAAAGGCCCCAAAACCUUUCUCGUUGGAAAACCAUGCCUCCCCGUAUUCUCUACUUUCACCUGUAAGUUUUAAUAAAGUUACUAAGAAGCCAUAUGUCUUCUCCAGACUGUAAAAUCCUUGAAGUCGGGGAUCACCAUCUUUUCUCUCUCAGUUUCUCGUUCUGACCCCGAGUCUGACUCCAGAGCCCAAGCUUGUAACUCCUACAUAAGCUGACUCUUUCUGCCACCUAAAUUGAAUUUUCUAUAUUAUAUAAAUUUUAAAACAGGGAGCAAAUUAAUUAAAUGACACAGUUGACAAAAUGGAAUAUGAGUCCAAGAUUACAUAAAACAAUGUUAUUUUCACUAAGGUCUUUUUCUUCUCUUUUCCUUCAUACUCUUUUGUGUUACACUCACCCCUAAUCACAUGGAAAGUAAAAAAUCAGACCUAAAUUUUUCCAAAGGUCUUGAUAUUUGCAAUCAUGUAGAGAAAUUAUCUGGGGAACUGAAUGUUUCGCUAGCUGUUUAGAAACACAUAGAUCCAGCUCACACAGAGUUCUAAAGAUUAAUUGGUUACUUCACACAGCGACCUUGUAAAGACUUCUGAAUUGGUAGUUAUCCAUUAAUUGAAUUAAUGAUGCCGACCAAUUUAGCUAACUGGAGCCCAAAUAGGUAUUUUUCAAAACCUAAAUUAUUUAUUCUUCAAAGGAAAAUUUACCUGUAAAUAAUACAUAGCUAACCUAUAACUAAACCCCUCUAACAGAAGUCAGCACACAGAAUCAAACAAACUUCCAGGAGGCCGGGGCCACUGCUGUGGAGUCCUGUGAAGAGACACGUGUUAUACAUAAGCCUCCUCUAACUUCUAGGUCCUGCCCCCUAAAAUUCCCCCUCCAACAAUCAGUCUAUAACAUGGAAAACAGUAGGGACAUCAUAUGUAUGCCAGUCCCCAUGUAUGCCAGGUUAGACAAUCAUGCAUGUGGUCAACCUGCCCAUAUGGUCUGGCCUCACCUUGCAUCACCUCUCUUGUCAUCUGCCCUCUAGCCCCACUGGCUUGCUUCCAACUCCUCAAAACACCGUACAUUCUCCAACCUCACAGCAUUUGUAUUAUUCCCUCUUCGUACAAUGCUCUUCCUCCCCCCACCUACCUUUUUCCACUUGACUCUUACUUAUCCUUCAGUCUCAGCUCAAACAUCACCUCCUCAGAGAGGUCUCUUUUUCACCCCCAGACAGGGGUGAUAUACCCCUUAUUACAUAGUCCUUUAUGUUUCUUCCAUAGCACUCAUAACAAAUCUGGCUUUACACAGAUUAGUUCAUCUCAUGAUUAAUAUCUGUCAACCCCACUAGAUUAGAAGCUCCUUUUCUGGUCUGAAUCAUCAUUACACCUUUCGUGUCUAGCACAAGGCCUGACCCACAGUAAGUACUUGUUGAAGGAAGGAAUGAAUAAAUUGUACUGCUCAAUGAUGCCUGGGGCACCUAUCAUACUACCCCAAAGACAGGACUAAAAUUAUAAGUGAGUGACAAGUCAAAAAUGCUGGUUGGCCCUGAGUACUUCCUGACCUGACAUCCAAUCAUCUUGUGACCCAGAAGUGGCAGGUCAAACCCCACCUGCUUUCUGCCUAGAAUCGUCUUCAGGCACACAAACAUCAUUUUCCUCUCUUCUCUCCAAAGCACCUUCUUCAAAUAUGUCUAAAUAGACUCCAAAUUUUAUGCUGAGAGAAAAUCUAAAGUUACGGAAACUUGUAGACUAUAUCACAUGUCAUAGUUAAUAUCUCAAACGAUGAGUAAUGGGAGUAUAUUUUAAGAUUAGCACAUAUUUGGCCCAGAACAACAAUGACACAAAUUACCAAGCAGCUGGGAUUUUAUUCUAAAGCCAUCUUGAAGACAAUAUAGACCUACGCCUAGUAUCCAUAGUCACCUCAGAGAAGCCGAAGAUUGCACAAGAUCAAGUAAGCUAGGUUGCACACUUGCACACGAAAGCUUGUGAAUUGUGGCACAAUAACAGAUCAAGUGUUCAAAUAUUUUUCCAAAUUCCUCAGAGCCAUCUCAUAGCUACAAAUACUGAUUUGUAGCCUCCUCUUUUAGAUUGCCAUAAACAGCACGCAGAGAGCCAUGCUUCUGGCUGUGAUCAAACACCAGGCACAAACAGAAAGUUACAGCGCGUACAACGUCCUUCAAAGAAGCACAAUCUCAUUUUCAUAAAGUUUCCCAUUUCCCCUCAAUUUUCUGCGUUCAUCCACGGCUUCAAACAUUAAGUGGCCUCACUGGAACAUUCACUAAAGUUUUACUUAAGAUUGAUGAAGGCUCUGCCUGUGUGGUUACAGCAAACCCAGACAUGCUCGAUGGUCUGAAGUUCCUCAUGAAACCUAAAAUCCAUACGGGUGAAUUAGCAAACUUCCUCUGCUCCUUUUUAUGAUAUCACUUUAAAAAGCUGCAACACUUACAUACCAAGUUUUAGCCAAAAUAUGGAUUCACAGGAAUUCAUAUCUAGAUUCAUUAGCUAAAAGCAUAUCAGCGGAAUUUCCAAGCAGAGAUUUAAACUGUGAACCAUUUCUCCACCUACAGGACUACUGCAUAGACCAAGACAGAGUUCUGUCGAUGCUGACUAGGAACCAAAAUGUUGAAGCAGGAUUGAUUUGUAACAGACUUAGGUGAUCAGUGGCCAGUCUGAUCCACGACCAUCCAUCCAGUUGAUCGUAGCCUCUUCUCCCUUACUAUAAAAGGUACCACAUCAGAUGUUAAAUUACUCCACAUUCUCAUGGAUUCUGCUUUUCACCCAUACCUAUUUUCUACAGGUCUUUAAAACUGCUUUUCCUACGUUGACGCUUUCAGAUUAACUUCAGUUAAUUACUGAUGAGCCAAAAAUCUAAAACCAACACACGUAAGAGUACUUGUUAUCUGUUGCUGUUGAAAUAAGCCCUGCUGUAAAAAACAAAGCAGGCAAAUUCUUAAAUGAAGAUACUUCAUUUUAAUUUGAAUCAGCAUAAAAGAUUCAACCUGGUUUUCUGAAUAGUGACAAGGUGCCAGGAGCUCAAGCAGACACACGUACCAUUAUUCCACAAUGAAUAAACACCUGCAUACAUGUUGUCUGUUUUGUUUUCAUAGUAACAAGAACAUUUACAAACACAUCUCAUGUAAAAUGAUCAAUCAAAAGAUUCUGCUGGCUAAUCUUUCCAUGUAGUCAAUUAGCAUAAUUUCAUUAUGUGAUAAUAUACACAGAGUAAAUGAAUUUUCACAUUCCACGUUUACAGAAUUAUAGAAAUGUUUUCUCUACUUUGAUCUUAUUUUUCCAAAGACCUCCACAAGGAUCUAGCCAGUUAAAAAACAGUUAAAUUUUAAAUUUGUAAUAUCAUUAAUACUCUACCAUUCCCAAAAUUGUCCCCAAAUCAAUUUCACAUCAACGUCACUGUAAAUGCCUCACAUAAACAUAAGCAGUCUCUAAUGAAGCCGGCCACAUAAACACAAUCACCAUAGCAGAAUACAUAGAUGCCAACAAGCAAAUUUUCUUUUAUACCUGAGCUAUGUUCAAAGAAAAAACACACAAUUUUCAAAAGAUCCACCAUUGCAAUAUAACAUUUUUCUGUAUACAAGAAGUAUACUGCAUAUUUCAAACCUAGUGGUCAAAGGGGAUUAUGACACUUGAAGCACACUAUCAUUAAGUGGAUGUUGGUAAAUCCCUUUCACCUCAAAAUAAAAAAUCAGAGUUCUCAUCUGGUACCAUGACUUCUUAGCGUUCCACAGGAAUUUUGCCUUAAGAAUGAAAAUGAUAUCCAUUUUACUCACAUGGAGGGCAUUACUGUCUUGAUAAACUAUCUGGCCUAUAUCCUAAAAAUCAAACCCAAUCUACUCAUUACACAAACUACUUGGUUAAAAUUUUGCUCUGACACACUUAUAAGGUGAAAAAGCACAAGACAUUUGCAGAUUCUAAUAUAUAUGUAAUAUAUACUAUCUAUUACAUAUAAUAUAUAUGCAAAUAUUGAAAAUACUUUGGUUUGCUCAAGGACAACUAUCACCAAAUAUUACUAUAUCGCUGGAGGAAAUGUUUCUAAUAAAGUUAAAUGGUCUUCUUCUAGGAGGACAGAUCAUUGCAAAUUUAAUUAAAAUAGAUCUUAUUAAUAUUUCAAGUAAUUUCUGGGCUUGACUAUGCACUACAAAAGAAACAACUGUACUGAGAGAAAAAUCAAUAGCCCUUGACUAGAGCUCUGAGCCUGCUAGAAAAAUGCAGUUCUCUUGUGAAUUAUGAGGUCUAGCCUUUGGGAGUGGGGGAGAGGACCAAUAUUCAUUUGGAGGUAAACUGAGUUAUUUUUAAAAUGGCAAAACGGGAAGGAGAAAAAUCAGUUCAAAUUUUCCAUUAUAAUGAAAGUACCGGAAACAAGCCUUCUGAGGUUCGUUUCAGGCCUAAGCAACUGUGCAGAGAAUAAGGCUUUUGUACUGUCAGUUGCACACGCAGCUUCCUGUGUGAAUUCUAAGCCAUUACAGGUGUCCCAAGGCCUCCCGUGAAACCUAUUAUCAGGGGAUUCCUCCGUCGCCCUCAAAGCCAUCCCCACUGCCGGCCACCCAGCACACAUGGCCCGUCUGCUCCAAGCGCCUUGAUUAAGGACCCUCUCUCUUCUCCGCGCCCCGAGGCUGAAGCACCCACUUCCCUCGGCGCAGCUGUAAAAGCUUUCCCAUUAGAGGACUCCUUCCUGCAGUCCUUUUGAGUUAGAGGCUUUCAAGUCAGAGAGGAGAGGAGCCACUUGAAGUAAACCCUCCUUCCCCUCCUCUUUCACCCCACUGGGAGCCACGUCCCUGAAGGACACCACCAAGGGACGCUUCCUGACCUUCUAUCCCCUCACCCAGUUUGGGCUGGGAGGGCUGGGGUCGCCUUUUCCCCUGUCCUCUGCUGCACUGGAUGUGUUAUGUAAGAGGGACAGAACGCGGGAGGCACAUGCGUAUAAAGCGCACCGAUCUGUGAUAACAGCUGGGGUGGCAGAGCCGAUCCGGAGUCUCCCCACCGAAUACGACAGACACCACACACAUCAGCCCCCCACCCCCAGACACACACACACACAUACAGCCGUGUUUUCCUGUCUCACCCCUACCAGCACCAGACGCACAGAAUGGAAAGGGGGGGAGGCGUGGAGGGAGGUGAGAGAGGAGGAGCAGCGGCAGCCGCACAUCUGCUUUGAUAGCAGCCGGCGGAGCCGCCGCGGCACAGAGCCCCUUGUUAACCCCCUUCCUGUGGCUGCACCACGUCAUGGAACAUUCCCGGAACGGGCCAACGUUCCACCCACUUCAGGGAACAGACAUAAAGGCGCAGACCCAGCUCCCCACAGUGCACAGCCCAAACACACAUGUCCCUUCCCGGUGCCCGGGCAGACGCACAGACGAACACGCAUGCAAACCGCCCCCACCCGUCUCCGCGCGCCCCCGGCCGGCCCGCGGCGCCGGGAGCCGCUCUGCGGCCGCUGCACCCGCAAGGCGAGGGCGCCUCCGCCUGAACCUUCCAUCGAGACAGCCCCUCCGUCCUCGCUUCCUUCCUUCCUUCCUUCUUCCUUCCUUCCUUCCUUCCUCGCUCGGCAGGAGAAAGAGCCCCCGAAAUGCCGACAGCCAGCGCCUCCGCUGCGCUCGCUCGGCCGCAGGCCGGCGGCCCGGCCCUCGCGCCGCCCUCCCGCCGCCGCCGCCGCCGCCGCCCCCGACCCGCACGGCGCGGCCCCCUCCCCCGCUACCUGACGACGGCGGCCGCGGCAGCCGCAGCGGUGGCCGGGCGGUGCGCGCCGGUGCACGUCCCUCAUUAGCACCCAGCACAUUCCUGCCGCCGGCGCUCCCGCGCGCCCCCUCCCCCCAGGACAUUACGCAAAGCAGCCUCCCCUCAUCUGCAUAGAGCCUCGGCCAGGGUAUUCCCCGCGUUUCCCAACGCGCCCGACCCCCUCCCGAGGUCUCCCCCCCUCCCCGCCCCCUCCGACCCUCACCCGCGGGAGCCCGGGCAGGGGCCGGGGGCGCGCGCCGGAGGGGCGAUGGGGUCCGGCGGGGGCGAUCGGGAUAAAGUGAAACAAGCUCCUCAUUGCUACAGGAGGCAGGAAAAACGCAGCGCCGGGGCCACUUACCGCGCCGAGGACCCUCGGUUCCCGCCGCUCCGCUCUCCCAAAUGGUCGGUCCGCCCUCCGCGCACCCCAAGGCUGCACCCCGCACCCCAAAGUCGAGACGUGUAGGAAUAUUGUUAAGAGCCAGGAGCCCCUCCAAGUUGCUCCGGGCUCCUGGGAGCUUCAACGUCCAAGACACAACUUGGCCAAGACUUGUGCCACGGUCCCCGAAGAUGUUUCGGUGGAGACCCUCCUCCGGCGGGGAGAGACGCGCUCGGCGGCGCCCCGCUCGCCGCCUCUCCACCCCCUCACCUCCAGCCCGCCUCCCGCCGGCCGCCCGCCCCCGGGCCGCGAGCCCCUCGGGCGGCUGUCAGCUCCCGGCCGCCGCCGGGUGACAGGGGCGGGAGGAGGGCGCGACGCGGCGGCCCGAGCCCGAGCGGGCGAGGGGGAUCCUCGCAGCAGCGGCGGCCGCUCACCUGGAAAGUCACCGCUGAGAAGGAGGAGGAGGAGGAGGAGGAAGAGUGGGGAGAGGAGGAGGGGGAGGAAACCCCCCUGGUGCCCUUGUUCUCGCUGCCGCGGCGGCCGCUCCUCGCCAAGGCUGAGCGUGUCUGGUGGGGGGUGUCUGGUAGCAUUUCCUUAAGGACAGAGGGAGGGCGGGCGCGGAGGGAGGGAAGAGAUCCCGACCGCCUGCCCAGGCUCCUCUUUCCUCUAUUUAUUUUUCUGACACUGUACGGCGAUGGGCCCGGGGCAGGGGCCGCCGGGCUCGCGAGGGAGCCGCGAGGCCCGGGCCGCAGCAGUGUGCGUGCGGGAGCCGCAGCGGCCGCCUCCCCUCCCGGGCUGUGGACGCACCGGGUUAUUCCUGGCAGCGCCUCCCCGAACAGAAGUUACUAGGAGGAGUGCGCGGCGAGGGCGGGCGCGGGGAGAGGCGGGGGGAGGGAGGGAGGAAGAGGGAGAGACUCAGCCAGCGACGUCAUCGGAUCCCCCAGCGCGUCCCUAGGAGGGAGGCUGAACCAGAAAAACCAGUCUGGAGCCGGCGAGCGCGAGAGGGAUGUGCGGCGCGCCGGGCGGCCGGGGAGGGAGGCGGCCGGGAGGGCAGGGCCGGGCCCCGCCGCGGCCGCUCCGGGCGGGAAGAUCGCGGCCGCGGUCACGCUCCCUCGGAUCGGGGAACUCCCCCGAGAGCCGGUCUCUACUCGUCAUGCAAAAAAAAAAAGACUUGGGCGUCUCUAGGAGCCCGAGAACUUCCUUCAGGGAUGUGAAAUCUCCUCCCCGCCCCCCAUCUUCCCCAUUUCCCGUAUAACCGUUCCCUGUGUUGAUGACAAACGGAAUUACUGAAUAUUUAGGAUGGUCAUGAUUUUGUCCGUGGACCUCUGAUCCCUUUCCUCGCUCUCGCCCUCGGCUCUACUCACGGUUAUGUUAUCGGUCAACAGAAACAAAAUCAGACUGUAGCUCCUGGCUGCGCUUCUCAAGCUGUGCCAAGCGUUUUACUAGCACUUUCCGUGCCCCUGCGGAAGCACGAACUUUUCAGGCGCUCGAAAGGCCCCCAUUGCCUCCCCUGGGGUCGCUCGCCAGGGCGCCGCGGGCGCACCCAGCUCUGGGAACGCGGCCCGCCCUCGCCGGGGUAUUCAAAUCGGGGUGGGCAGCGGCGCGGGGCGCAGCUGCCGGCUUCCUGGUGGGCCGUGCCGGGGCCCGGGGCGGGCCGCCGCCUCCAGCCCGCGCGCUGCCCUCUCCUCGGACGGGACGCGAGCGACACCCUACCCGGCGCGGGAAGCGAGGGGCCCGGGGAAUCCCAGCUUCCUUUCCCAUCAAACUCACGUUCUCUCAAACCUGCUGAUCUCAGAGAGUUGUCAACAGAAAAACCAACUAUUCAAGCCUAAAGUGGAUUAUAAGCAUUUGAGAUAACAGCCAACAUUGGUCCCUCUGGAGCCAGAACCAGGGAGGCAGAAGGGCCCAGAAUAACUCAUACGAGAACGGAUCCUGUCCAAUAAUAUAAAUCAAAUAAAAUUGCUGUCUGUUCUAUAAGGCAAGAGAUAUAUUAUGAGGCUGUAGAUGAAGUGAAAGGCAAGGAGCCAGAGAUGCAAGUACACUGAGGGCCAUGGCUGGGGACAGCGGUAGGUGAUGGACAAAGCAGUAGGGUGGACAGGGAGCAGGAUGAAGAAUGUGGAUCUCUGUUUUGGCCACAGCAUCUCUUUACUAUGUGGACAGCGCUCCAGCAGGGCUGCUAGAUUUGCAUGCUCCUACUGAACACUGAAGACGUGUUGCCUGGUUUCCUCCUUGCUUCACAGACUCACUGAGGACAUCAACCUUGGAGGAGCCAUUGUACCCAUGCUUUAGUUUCCACACUUUUCCUGAAUAUGAGGAAGCAAAUGACGUCCAAGACCUCCUAAUGAGCUUCGGGCUACAGAGAGUUGAUGGAAGUAAAAUAGUAAUAACAACAACAACAACAACGAAAAUAAAAAGUGGAGUGGAUAACGUAAAAGCAUUAGUUCCAUAGUCUAGCUUCCUCUACAUCAUCAACCAAUUUCCAAAGCAAGAUUUGCUUAGGAUGAUGUGCAAAAUGGAUACCCUGUGCCCAGCAAGUAAUGCACUGAUUCUGUCAAAGUGAGGAGAGCAUUAAAAAUAAUUCUGAACGAAGAGCAUUAAAAAUAAUUCUGAACGAAGAAGUCAGAAAGGAGUCAGGAAGACAUUUUGUGCAGAUGAGAAGCAAAAUUUAUCAAGGAUAGAAAUCAUAAGACAGGACAUAAGUUAGUGACUUCCUGAAAUAUUUAGUAUGUGACACAUUUUGAGGUUGAAGGUCAGGAGCAUCCAACCUGUCACUCAUCAGAUCUGUCAUCUUAUGAUGUAUAGAUACAGAUAUAGGUAUAUAGACAGAUAUAGAUACAAAUCUAUAUAUACAUAUAGAUAGAUAGAGUAUAAUCUAUAUAGAGAGUAUAAUAUAGAGUUUUAUAUAUAUAACAUAUUAUUUAAUAUAUAUUAUAUAUACUAUAUUAUACUCUAUAUACUAUAC
ensembl:lncRNA